AGUAUUAAACAGCAUAAAGAAAAAAACCCCAAAUAUGUAUAUAUGUGUUAAUAUAGCUGUUUUUUUCUUUAAAUAAAUUCUUAAUGUUAACUGGACAUAGAGUGUGGUCAUAUUUAAAGAUUUGGAAAAAACUGACAAAUUGUAUUUUUUAAUGGCCGAAGGACAUGAAUUUAAAAAAAUGACAGACUAGAAAUGCAAAUAGGGCUUUAUUAAAUUUUAAACGGCAGGUCAUUUUUAACUGUCAAAUAGAACUUUGUGCAUUCAUUCAAGUGCUGGCCAUGUAUCAGACACCAAGCAACUGCCCCUCACUCCCCGCCCCCCAAACAAUGAAAGAAAAAACACAAUAGAUAUGGCCUCAUGGAACUUUUAGUCCCAAGGAAAUACACCAUUUAUUGAACCCUUUUUGUGUGCCGGGAGUACACGAAGCACUUACAAACACUAUUGCAUCUAUUCUCAAAACUCUAUGAGGUGGGUAUUUUUACCUACUGAAUGAGGAAGCAGAUGUUCAGAGACUGACUUGUAUGAGUCACAUGGCUAUACAGGCUGUGGGUGGAAGUCCAACUCUGACUAAUUCCAAAGAUCUCACCAUUAGCUUCUGGGUGAAGGAAUAUUGGAAAGCCUAAAAUCAAUGGAGGAAACUUUUUUCAAUAUAUUUCAAAAAACCAAAUAAAUGAGUCUGUAUGGUUAGGGUGUAGUGAAAGAGGUGCCCUCGUGUUGCUAGAGUAUAAACAUCCUUUCUGCAAAGCAAUCUGAUAAAAUAUUAGAAGCCUUAAAGUAUUUUCAUCUCCUUUACCUGGAAUUCUAUUGUUUUAACUCUACCCUAAGCAGAGAAUCAGAAGUGUGAUUAAAGAUUUAGGUACAAUUGGUGGAAUAUUUAAUAAAAAAAUUGUGUGUGUGUGUGUGUGUGUGUGUGUGUGUGUGUGUGUGUUGCAGAUUAAGUGGCAAAAUCAUGGAAUGUCUGGAAUUUGCCUCAUCAUAAACUAGGAGAGGAAAAAUCGAUUGAAGCUGGAUGAUGGAUACAUAUACCAUUUAUACUCAGAAAAAAAAUUUACGGAAGACAACAGCCCCCCAUCUAUGACAGGUCCCUUAUUAUUGUCACUGUCAGAGGUGGGUCACUGGUCUAAUCAGCCAACGGAACCAAUGUGAGCCAGUAACAGUUUGGAGUCAUAUAUUAGGACAUCAUUGGCCGAGAGGAAAUCAAACUGUUAGCUUGGUAAUUUAUACCCUAUACUUCUGCAGGGCACAACCAGUUGUAUUUUUGUGAGACACUUCCAUUAUCCAGUGAUGGAAGUAUGUGAAAACAUGUGUCCAUCCAUCAUCCAGCUUCAAUCCAUUUUUCCUCUUCUAGUCUAGUUUAUUUUGGGGCAAAUUCCAGACAUUGCAUGAUUUUAUCACUUAAUCUGGAAGACACACACACACACACACACACACACACACAAUUUUUUAUCAAAUUAACAGCUCUGCC